AGACCCGAAACCCGGUGAUCUAGCCAUGGGCAGGUUGAAGGUUGGGUAACACUAACUGGAGGACCGAACCGACUAAUGUUGAAAAAUUAGCGGAUGACUUGUGGCUGGGGGUGAAAGGCCAAUCAAACCGGGAGAUAGCUGGUUCUCCCCGAAAGCUAUUUAGGUAGCGCCUCGUGAAUUCAUCUCCGGGGGUAGAGCACUGUUUCGGCAAGGGGGUCAUCCCGACUUACCAACCCGAUGCAAACUGCGAAUACCGGAGAAUGUUAUCACGGGAGACACACGGCGGGUGCUAACGUCCGUCGUGAAGAGGGAAACAACCCAGACCGCCAGCUAAGGUCCCAAAGUCAUGGUUAAGUGGGAAACGAUGUGGGAAGGCCCAGACAGCCAGGAUGUUGGCUUAGAAGCAGCCAUCAUUUAAAGAAAGCGUAAUAGCUCACUGGUCGAGUCGGCCUGCGCGGAAGAUGUAACGGGGCUAAACCAUGCACCGAAGCUGCGGCAGCGACACUGUGUGUUGUUGGGUAGGGGAGCGUUCUGUAAGCCUGUGAAGGUGUGCUGUGAGGCAUGCUGGAGGUAUCAGAAGUGCGAAUGCUGACAUAAGUAACGAUAAAGCGGGUGAAAAGCCCGCUCGCCGGAAGACCAAGGGUUCCUGUCCAACGUUAAUCGGGGCAGGGUGAGUCGACCCCUAAGGCGAGGCCGAAAGGCGUAGUCGAUGGGAAACAGGUUAAUAUUCCUGUACUUGGUGUUACUGCGAAGGGGGGACGGAGAAGGCUAUGUUGGCCGGGCGACGGUUGUCCCGGUUUAAGCGUGUAGGCUGGUUUUCCAGGCAAAUCCGGAAAAUCAAGGCUGAGGCGUGAUGACGAGGCACUACGGUGCUGAAGCAACAAA
rnacentral:rRNA from 1 species